AGAACCUAUAUUCUCAAUUAUUUCAGUCGAUUUAGCGUAUAAAAAGAGUGGGGAUUACUUAAGCAAACCCUAUACCUAAAAAAAUAUCUAAUACUCUAAGAGUUAUCGAGAAAGAACUUUAAAUGAGGAAAAACCGAAAUUUCUAACUGUAUGCCGUAGUCUGGGUCUUCCGGAAAACACAGAAAGGUACUUAAAUUCGAUGUUUCGAUAACUAAAUUUGAUAUUUCAAGAAUAAAAUCGAAAAAAAAAUGUUUGAUGACAUUGUUUACUCAUAUUAAUAAUGUGAGAAAAAGAGGUUUGAGGAUGAACUUUGAACCAAAUCACUCAAAAUAAUUUGUUUUAUUACCAAUUCGAUAAUUCUUAUCUUAUACUGGGUGUUCCUGAAUUGGAGUUACGAAGGAAAAUGAGAGAUUCUUCGGGUAAUUUUAAAAAUAAAAUGACCCCUAAACAUGAGCCCCCGCAAACGCUUUGUUUUCGAGAUACAGGGUGUUUCUGGUAGUCCCACUUUUUUGUGAUGUUUAUCGAAUCUUGAUUAAUCUUCCCUACAGAGUUGAUAAAUAAGUACCAGAACUAAUAAUUAAUUUAUUUAUCACAGCUGCCUAACUGGAUCCUUAUAAUAAUUUGGAUUUUUCUAAGAAUUACUAUAGAGUUGUUCAAAUAUUUUUCUCGAAAUCUAUUGCAGAUACGACAAAACUACAACAAACCAAAAAGUGUAGUACAGAACCAGAGUUAUUUUUCAAAUUCUUCUGAACUACCAGAGGUUCUCAAAAAAUAAUUCUGGGGAAAAGAAGCGGACACCCUUCCCGAAAAAAAUGCACGUUGUAGAUUUUCAUUCGAAAUUAGGAUAUCUCAUGAUGAAAACUUUAAAUUGGAAUAUGUAUGCCAAUUCAAGUUGAAUAUCUUGUGAAGGGAAGGUGCUAUAAAAGAAAAACUUGAAAUUUAAAACCUGUAUCUCAAAAACAAAGCCGUUUGUUAUAGAACUUUUUCUCUUAAAAUGGUCCGAGAAAUCAGUCAUUUUCAUUUUUACCUCCAAUUUAGGAACAUCCUGUAGAUAAAGUCAAUUCAAAACUGAUGUCUGCACAAAUAAUUGCAAUUUGAAAGAAACACAAUGAAUUGUACAAAACAGCACAGACAAUUUUGCGAUGUGUAUUACUAUAUAGUGAAAUUUUGUGACGAAAAUGGUACAAAAAACUGAAAACAACGGGUAAGUGUAUACGGAUGACGAAUGCAAAAAUCACAGAUGGCAAAUAAGCGGCGGUGCUGAAAAAGCGGAUAGAUAAAGGAAAAUAAUAAACCUCGGACAAAGACAUGCUCGUAAUCAUAGACGUAUCAGGAUAAUAAGUCUAUGGCCACUCGUAUAUUCCGCGCCAUCUGUCGGAGGAGGAUACUAAUACACGAAAAAAUUAUUUUCAAUUUGAUAGUUAGAUGUCGUUGCAUUCAUGGAGAUCACUCGUGAAUAAUGGCUCCCAUACACGUUACGGUCUAUUGGGAAGAAAGUCUCCAGGUUUAUAUGCAGCUUGUGUGGGGAGAUGUAUGAAAAUAGUAAGUAUAAUGUAUUAUCAAAAAACCUUUGAAAUGUCAACUGACACAAGGAGUGGUUUGACACGUUCUUUUUGAAAUAUAAUAAAUUUCGAUAUGCCUGCAAGAGUGAAGACGUGCUAUGUUAUUGGAUGUGAAAAUCGAGAUGCAAAAAGAUAUGCGAUCACUAUCAUCGGCAAUAGGAAGAAGAAAUGAAUUGAUUAUUUUUGGUUCAUAAAUUUUAUAUUAUAUUCUAGAAUCUAGAUAGUUUAUAUUAUUAAUUAUUUCCCUAUUAUGAGUUAAUUAGUUCUGUUACCUAUAAGAAUUUAGGAUUUUUCAUGUAUUGAAUAAGUUUAGUAGGUAUAAAUACUCAUAUUUUGUAUUAUUGAAUUCAUUAUUUUUAGUUUUUGAGAAUGUUUUCAAUGCAAUUAUUAGUUUAUUGAUUAGAUAUUUAUGAAAUAAAUCUGUAUUUUCAAUUGGUGAUAUUUCAGUUAAUAAAUUUUUAUUCUAUCCAGAAUUUGAUUAUUGAUCCUCAUUUCUCGAUUCCAAAAAAAAAUCAGAUGAAAGUUCGUUGCAGGUAUUAUUUUCAUGAAAAUAAAUUUCCUCACUCAUCGAUAACUUGCACGAAUCCAUUUCUGAUUUCCUUUUGGAAUUUGAAUUUCAAAAAACUUUUUGCCUCUUGUAUAUGGGUGUACCUACCUAUUCAAAAGGUGCACUACAGAAUUCUUUUUGAGGCAGCUUUACGAUACAGAUUCCUUUUUCAAUUGAGCUUUGUUCACGAACUAGUAAUGUUGUACAAAAACAGAUGGCGUUGAAGCUUGUUCUACUAGUGUCUCAUCUAAUUUCCGUUUAGUUAGUCUAUGAUUGAUAAAUAAAUACUUGACAACUUGACUUGACAUUGAAAAGCUACUACUUGACUUGAUUUCAAGUCCAGUCAAGUAGCUUAAAUAUAAAGUCAAGCUGUGAAUCUCUAAUGAAAUGUGAUCUGGCAGGUUGAUUUAAUAAUUUAUAUUCUAAUAUUUUGACUUCAACUUUGAAUUCAGAAGACUGAAUUAAAUAAAUGUAAGUUUCAUGCAAAAUUUGUGAAUAGAAGUUUGAACAGGCGCGAAUAAGUUAUUGAUUACGAAGAUCUCAGAGAUGUUGAUCAUAUUAAAGAUUUAGGGGCAGAGCCGUAUCUAGGGCAAAGGUGGCACUUGUCACGGGCGCAAGGUCCACAGGGGCGUCCAAAAAUAUCAAGAGAAAUAAAUCUUGAAGCGCCAGGUGAAAUAAUACGAAAAAUCACAACUUGGUUUUCAUGUAUAUGAUCGCCUCGUUAAUAAUAAAGAAAAUAUUUUAAGAAAUUUUUUCAAAACGGUUUCACCUCAAGAACCAGGGGUGUUUUUGUAUUUCAGGAAUUAUUUUGUGUCUAUGGGAGAGAUCUGAAAGUCGGUUAACUUCUUGACAGUUCUCAGGCAAGUAAUGCCAGAAGGUGUUAAUGGUUGUGAAUUUUGGGAAAGACUUCUAUUAUAAGGAUUAAAAAUUAUUUGCACGUUGGACAGAAAUAACCGACAGUUGCGAAUUCAUUCUGAAGUUUGAAGAAGACAAUGUUGAAUUAAGUUUCAAGAUGAAAACUGCUCUAUGGGUAUCUUCUGGAUUGGUACGAAGCUGACCAAGUAUCGUCAAGUUUUUCGUACAAUUUCACUUUAAUAGAACCAGUGUUUUUUGUAUUCCUGGACUUAUUUUGUGUUUACAAGAAAUACCUGAAAGUCAGUUAACUUUAUGACAGUUCUCAGGCAGAUAAUCCCCGAAGGUGUCAGUGAUAACAGUUAGAAGUUUUGGGUUUGACUUCUAUUAUAAGGAUUACAAAAUACUUGCACCCCAAUUUCCAUAAAUUUUGUCUGGAAUGAUUUGGCAGAAAUAACCGACAGUUCAUUCUGUAGCUUGAAGAAGAUAGUGUUGGAUAGAGUAUCAAGAUGGAAACAGCUCUAUGGGUAUCUUCUGGGCUGGUACGAAGCUCAGCAAUAAGUAUCGUGAAGUUUUUUGUGCCUAAAAAUGAUAUAUGGUUCGGCCAGAGUAGCUCGUUAUUUUAUACCCAGAAGAAUCGUUAACUUAACGUCCAAGUGUGUAGAAAUUGUCGAAAUUGUCACAUCUUUUAUGACAAUUUUGGAGCAAGUAAGUCAUGAUUUUUUAGUUAUUCAACCUCCAAUAAUUUAAGUUGGUAAUAAUCAAUAUUGAUUAAAACCAAGGAAAUAGUUGAGAAACUUGAAUAUGAACAGCAAACGUUAUUGAAAGAAGCUGAUAGCAGGAUAUUCUCCUGUGAACAAAAGAAUGAACAGCAUAAAAACGAACUUUGCAUGCAGAAAAUGAUCAUCGAAAAAAUUAAGGAAGACCGUGAUAAACUAUUAUAAGAAGUGCAAGAACUCAACAAUGAAUUAUUUUCUACAUCUACUAAAGCCCGAAAAUAUGAGGAACAGCUUGAAAAGUUGAAGCUCUUGACCAUCAAAUAAAGGUACUCAAACAGUCGUCCAUUGAUAAUGAGGAGGAAUAUGCGAAAGCGAAACUAAUCAAUAAUGAUUUGUGUUCCAAAAUUUCAACAUUGGAACACCAGCUCAAAGAGUUGGAAGAAAAGAACGACGAAAGAAUCCUACAAGAACAGAUUAAAACCAAGGAAAUAGUUGAGAAACUUGAAUAUGAACAGCAAACGUUAUUGAAAGAAGCUGAUAGCAGGAUAUUCUCCUGUGAACAAAAGAAUGAACAGC